UGGCGCCCCCAUAAAAUCCUACUUUGACUGUGGCUCUGCAGCCACCACUUUAACCAGAGCUGCAGAUGCCUCCUCGAAGUUCGGAGAGGAGGUUGACUCAUCAAAGUCGCCUUAGGACACAGCAGCCAGCUAGACGGCGAUCUCCAAGCCCACAGUCGGGCCAUGACUCAACCUCCGAAUGUCGAUCUCCUUUACACUUUGAGGUUGGUACUGUCCGUGAAGUUGAUU
rnacentral:lncRNA from 1 species